UUCUUGGCAUAGUGUAGUAGUGGCUUUUUUGUGGUUGUAAUAUGAAAUGUUAGCUUUUUUUUGUGGUUGUAGCACAAUAGCAGUGAUUUUUUUUUUUUUUUGUAGCAGAUGAGUUUUGGUUUGAAAUUAAAAUGGUUCCCUAUUUAUAAAGGGCUAAAAUGUAAAAUGUCUGGGAAAUUUGAAUUUCCCAAAUUUUCAAUGAAUUGGUUUAUUUUGAAAUUAUGCCGGCUUCAAUUUAAAUUUCUGCACAUAUUUUAAUCUUUGCAUUUGUAGGUCCUUUACACGCGGAUGGGAUCCAAUGUCCCAUAAUUUUAUGUGUGUCACUGUGUCC
rnacentral:lncRNA from 1 species